AACGAACGCUGGCGGCCGGCUUAACACAUGCAAGUCGAGCGCCCCGCAAGGGGAGCGGCAGACGGGUGAGUAACGCGUGGGAAUCUACCCAUCACUACGGAACAACUCCGGGAAACUGGAGCUAAUACCGUAUACGUCCUUCGGGAGAAGGAUUUAUCGGUGAUGGAUGAGCCCGCGUUGGAUUAGCUAGUCGGUGGGGUAAUGGCCUACCACGGAGACGAUCCAUAGCUGGUCUGAGAGGAUGAUCAGCCACACUGGGACUGCGACAAGGCCCUGACUCCGAGGGGAGGCAGCAGUGGAGAAUAUUGGACAAGGGACGAAACCCUAAUCCAGCCAUGCCGCGUGAGUGAUGACGGCCCUUGGGUUGUACAGCUCUCUCGCAGGUCAACAUAAUGACGGUAACCCGAAAAGCAGCGCCGGCUAUGAUCCAUCCAGAAACCGUCGUAAAAC
rnacentral:rRNA from 1 species